rnacentral:misc_RNA from 1 species
GUUUUCAACAAGUUCAAGGACAGCCAAGGGAACGUCAAGGAUUCCCUUGUCAAUGACCACAGAGGAAUGCUAAGCAUGUAUGAAGCUAUGCAUCUCAGGGUGCACGGAGAAGACAUUUUAGACGAAGCACUAGCUUUCACUACUGCUCACCUUGAGCCCCUGGUUACCUGAAGUUCGCCUCUCGCAGCGCAAAUUACCCAUGCUUUAAUGCAGCCUAUUGGCAAGGGCAUAACCAGGCUAGAGGCAAAGCAUCACUUAUCUAUCUACGAAGAAGAAGCC